rnacentral:lncRNA from 1 species
AAGUCCCUAGACUUAACCAUAUUCAAGUAACUAAGUCACCUACCAAACCACAUUCAAAACAAAAAAAUCUCCUUUAAAGUUCCUACACCUAACCAUUUUCAACCAACUAAGUCACCUACCAAACCACAUUCAAAACAAAAAAAAUCCCCUUUAAAGUCCCUACACUUAACCGUUUUCAACCAACUAAGUCACCUACAAAACCACAUUCAAAACAAAAAAAUACCCUUUAAAGUCCCUACAAUUAAUCAUUUCCAACCAACUA